GUGGCUGUAGCUCAGUUGGCAGAGCUCAGGAUUGUGGUCCAGUUGUCGUGGGUUCGAGUCCCAUCAGCCACC
rnacentral:tRNA from 2 species